rnacentral:rRNA from 1 species
AGUGAACGCUGGCGGUAGGCCUAACACAUGCAAGUCGAACGGCAGCACAGUAAGAGCUUGCUCUUACGGGUGGCGAGUGGCGGACGGGUGAGGAAUACAUCGGAAUCUACUUUUUCGUGGGGGAUAACGUAGGGAAACUUACGCUAAUACCGCAUACGACCUACGGGUGGAAGCAGGGGAUCUUCGGACCUUGCGCGAUUGAAUGAGCCGAUGUCGGAUUAGCUAGUUGGCGGGGUAAAGGCCCACCAAGGCGACGAUCCGUAGCUGGUCUGAGAGGAUGAUCAGCCACACUGGCACUGAGACACGGUCCCGACUCUGACGGGAGGAAGCAGUGGGGAAUAUUGGACGAUGGGGGCAAGCCGGAUCCAGCCAUACCGCGUGGGUGAAGAAGGCCUUCGGGUUGUAAAGCCAUUUUGUUGGGAAAGAAAAGCAGCAGGUUAAUACCCCGCUGUUCUGACGGUACCCAAAGAAUAAGCACCGGCUAACUUCGUG